rnacentral:rRNA from 1 species
UACACUCCUGCGGGAGGCAGCAGUGGGGAAUUUUGGACAAUGGGCGAAAGCCUGAUCCAGCAAUGCCGCGUGAGUGAAGAAGGCCUUCGGGUUGUAAAGCUCUUUUGUCAGGGAAGAAACGGUGAAAGCUAAUAUCUUUUGCUAAUGACGGUACCUGAAGAAUAAGCACCGGCUAACUACGUGCCAGCAGCCGCGGUAAUACGUAGGGUGCAAGCGUUAAUCGGAAUUACUGGGCGUAAAGCGUGCGCAGGCGGUUUUGUAAGUCUGAUGUGAAAUCCCCGGGCUCAACCUGGGAAUUGCAUUGGAGACUGCAAGGCUAGAAUCUGGCAGAGGGGGGUAGAAUUCCACGUGUAGCAGUGAAAUGCGUAGAUAUGUGGAGGAACACCGAUGGCGAAGGCAGCCCCCUGGGUCAAGAUUGACGCUCAUGCACGAAAGCGUGGGGAGCAAACAGGAUUAGAUACCCGAGUAGUCCCAUGAU